GGAGGGAGCUAGCGUUGUUCGGAAUUACUGGGCGUAAAGCGCACGUAGGCGGCUUUGUAAGUUAGAGGUGAAAGCCUGGAGCUCAACUCCAGAACUGCCUUUAAGACUGCAUCGCUUGAAUCCAGGAGAGGUGAGUGGAAUUCCGAGUGUAGAGGUGAAAUUCGUAGAUAUUCGGAAGAACACCAGUGGCGAAGGCGGCUCACUGGACUGGUAUUGACGCUGAGGUGCGAAAGCGUGGGGGAGCAAACAGGAUUAGAUACCCUGGUAGUCCACGCCGUAAACGAUGAUAACUAGCUGUCCGGGGGACUUGGUCUUGGGUGGCGCAGCUAACGCAUUAAGUUAUCCGCCUGGGAGUACGGCCGCAAGGUUA
rnacentral:rRNA from 1 species